GACGGGUGAGUAAUACCUAGGAAUCUGCCUGGUAGUGGGGGAUAACGUUCGGAAACGGACGCUAAUACCGCAUACGUCCUACGGGAGAAAGCAGGGGACCUUCGGGCCUUGCGCUAUCAGAUGAGCCUAGGUCGGAUUAGCUAGUUGGUGAGGUAAAUGCCGUAUAAGGCUACGAUCCGUAACUGGUCUGAGAGGAUGAUCAGUCACACUGGAACUGAGACACGGUCCAGACUCCUACGGGAGGCAGCAGUGGGGAAUAUUGGACAAUGGGCGAAAGCCUGAUCCAGCCAUGCCGCGUGUGUGAAGAAGGUCUUCGGAUUGUAAAGCACUUUAAGUUGGGAGGAAGGGCCAUUACCUAAUACGUGAUGGUUUUGACGUUACCGACAGAAUAAGCACCGGCUAACUCUGUGCCAGCAGCGGCGGUAAUACAGAGGGUGCAAGCGUUAAUCGGAAUUACUGGGCGUAAAGCGCGCGUACCCGGUUCGUUAAGUUGGAUGUGAAAUCCCCGGGCUCAACCUGGGAACUGCAUUCAAAAAAAACGAGCUAGAGUAUGGUAGAGGGUGGUGGAAUUUCCUGCCCCGCGGUGAAAUGCGUAGAUAUAGGAAGGAACACCAGUGGCGAAGGCGACCACCUGGACUGAUACUGACCACACGGUGCGAAAGCGUGGGGAGCAAACAGGAUUAGAUACCCUGGUAGUCCACGCCGUAAACGAUGUCAACUAGCCGUUGGGAGCCUUGAGCUCUUAGUGGCGCAGCUAACGCAUUAAGUUGACCGCCUGGGGAGUACGGCCGCAAGGUUAAAACUCAAAUGAAUUGACGGGGGCCCGCACAAGCGGUGAGCAUGUGGUUUAAUUCGAAGCAACGCGAAGAACCUUACCAGCCUUGACAUCCAAUGAACUAUCCAGAGAUGGAUUGGUGCCUUCGGGAACAUUGAGACAGGUGCUGCAUGGUGUGGUCAGCUCGUGUCGUGAGAUGUUGGGUAAAGUCCGUAACGACGCAUCCCAUGACCUAGUAAGAGCACGAAUGGUGCCAUGU
rnacentral:rRNA from 1 species